rnacentral:tRNA from 1 species
AUUUAUAUAGUUUAAUAAAAACUUUACAUUUUCACUGUAACAUUAGAAUUCUUUUCUUAUAAAUA